rnacentral:lncRNA from 1 species
UUUUUUUUUUUUUUGAGACAGAGUCUCGCUCUGUUGUCCAGGUUGGAGUGCAGUGGCACGAUCUCGGCUCACUGAAAGCUCCACCUCCUGGGUUCAUGCCAUUCUCCUGCCUCAGCCUCCUGAGUAGCUGGGACUACAGGCACCCACCAGCAAGCCCGGCUAAUUUUUUGUAUUUUUAGUAGAUAUGGGGUUUCACCAUGUUAGCCGGGGUGCUCUCUAUUUCCUGACCUCAUGAUCCGCCCGUCUCAGCCUCCCAAAGUGCUGGGAUUACAGGAGUGAGCCACCGCGCCCAGCUGAGAAUAUUAAUUUUAUAUAAUACCAAUGUGCAAUGCAGAUCAUUCAAUAAGAAAUCUUUGCUACAAUUUGAUAACUUGAUUAUCUAAAAUUGUCAACUGUGUCUCUGACUGACCUGUAAAAAUUUAAAUAUCUGAACAUUUUUCUAUAGUUUUAUGUAAUAACUGUAAGCCAAAUUUGAAAAGAAAUCACAGAAUAUAUUUUAAAAUCCAGUUCCCAUCUGGUGUCUCACAGCUUGAGUUUUCUUUCAAGGUGAUUUUUAAAAUUGUAUGUCACGUAGAGAUGUCAGUAAGCAAUGAUGCAUAACCAUGUGUGGACUAAUUUAUGCCACAAGCACUCAUUUGAAGAAGGAAGAGAGAAAUGAAACUUGGUUAUGUUUACUUGUUACAGAAUCACAGAAUCAAGUACUGUAUUGACAACAAAUGUUCAUAGAGUUCAUAAAGUCAAAAAAAAAAAAAACUCUUUUAACAUUUAAUGGGGAUAUAGUCACAAAACUUGUAUGCUAGAAAUCUUUAUUUUUAGAACUUUUAGAAAUGUAUAAUAACAUGGAAAAUGAAAAAAAUUGCUAAAUCAGCUACAAAAUUCAGAAAUGUUGGUUUUCUCAUGAUCUUUUUUAAUCGCUGUUUUUCUUCAUUAUUUAACUCACCAACACAUAUAUAUGUAUGCACAUAUACAUGUGUAUGUGUACACAAUGAUACAUUCAUUGAAUCAUUUCAUUAUCUUUAUUUUCAGAAACAAAUAUAAGAAUCAUCACAGAAGCAACAUGGUAGAUUAGGAAGCCCUGCACCUUCCUUCCCCAUCCGUCCCCCUACAAAUGUAUUGAUUCGGCAACAAUCACUGACAAAUUCCCUUUGCCAAAAAUCAGGAACUAAUAAAAAGAGUCAGGUCUGGUGGUCAAGGAACAACCCACUUCAACCCUGUAAAGCUGCAGUAGCUGAAUGCGCACUAAGUCCUGGACGUUGGGUAUAACCUGAACUACCACUCCACAUUCUCAUUCUAGCUGUGAUAAAGAUUUUUACCUAACCUAAAAAUGGGAAAUAAGCAAGGCAAAUGCCCUGACUAUUGGCAAACUCCUGGUCAGAUAAAUCUUUUCUUUCUACAACAUAGUUAAAGAAAAAUAAAACCCUAAUAAUUCACUGUUGAAAACUUACUGAAAGGCAUGGAAAAUAGUUUCCUAUUGUUUCAAAGAAACUCUUAACUGGGAAAAGGUUCUUUGCUAAAAACAGGACAACUGUUCAAAAUCUCUUUGACAUUCUUAACAUGGAGGCAAUACUCAUAUUCAUGAAAGAUAAUCAAGGGCACAAGAAAAGGGGAGCUGAUAUUUAAGUAUCAAUGUGUAUGAACACAUAUACCAAAGAAAAAAUGGGUUGACAAAAUUAAACCCUAACUACAGAACUCACCUUUUAGUGAAGCAUAUUACUGGCAUAGAAAAAAAAGUUAAGGGAUUCUACUCAAAAUUCAAAAUGCAGUAAUGGAAAUAUGCAAAGGAUAAGAAAGUAAAAGAUAUGGGGGACAUAAAAGAACUUUAAAAUUAAAUAAUUUUGUCUAAAAAUAAGAGAUCAGAAAAAUAACAGUAGAGAAGCA